AUGCUCAUUGACAUAAUUAUAAAUGGACUAAUCAUUCUUGCACAUGUUGACUCACCAAACACAGAUGGCAUAGACCCUGAUUCAUGUACAAAUGUUAGGAUUGAAGACAACUACAUUGUCCUUGGGAGUAAAAUGUCAGGUGGAAUCCAAGAUGUUAGAAUUGAAGACAUAGCUGCAAUCACAACAGGAUCAACUAUUAGAAUCAAAAAUAUCUCCACCGUGCUUCUUCACUUGAAGGAGAAGCGGGGUUAA